rnacentral:rRNA from 1 species
CACGUAGGGCGCAAGCGUUGUCCGGAAUUAUUGGGCGUAAAGAGCUCGUAGGCGGUCUGUUGCGUCUGCUGUGAAAACCCGGGGCUUAACCCCUGGCUUGCAGUGGAUACGGACAGACUAGAGGUAGGUAGGGGAGAAUGGAAUUCCCGGUGUAGCGGUGAAAUGCGCAGAUAUCGGGAGGAACACCGGCGGCGAAGGCGGUUCUCUGGGCCUUACCUGACGCUGAGGAGCGAAAGCGUGGGGAGCGAACAGG